rnacentral:rRNA from 2 species
UUAAGCGACUAAGCGUACACGGUGGAUGCCCUGGCAGUCAGAGGCGAUGAAGGGCGUGCUAAUCUGCGAUAAGCGCCGGUAAGGUGAUAUGAACCGUUAUAACCGGCGAUACCCGAAUGGGGAAACCCAGUGUGAUUCGUCACACUAUCAUUAACUGAAUCCAUAGGUUAAUGAGGCGAACCGGGGGAACUGAAACAUCUAAGUACCCCGAGGAAAAGAAAUCAACCGAGAUUCCCCCAGUAGCGGCGAGCGAACGGGGAGGAGCCCAGAGCCUGAAUCAGCAUGUGUGUUAGUGGAAGCGUCUGGAAAGGCGCGCGAUACAGGGUGACAGCCCCGUACACAAAAGCGCAUGUGCUGUGAGCUCGAUGAGUAGGGCGGGACACGUGGUAUCCUGUCUGAAUAUGGGGGGACCAUCCUCCAAGGCUAAAUACUCCUGACUGACCGAUAGUGAACCAGUACCGUGAGGGAAAGGCGAAAAGAACCCCGGCGAGGGGAGUGAAAAAGAACCUGAAACCGUGUACGUACAAGCAGUGGGAGCACCCUUUGGGGUGUGACUGCGUACCUUUUGUAUAAUGGGUCAGCGACUUAUAUUCUGUAGCAAGGUUAACCGUAUAGGGGAGCCGGAGGGAAACCGAGUCUUAACCGGGCGUUAAGUUGCAGGGUAUAGACCCGAAACCCGGUGAUCUAGCCAUGGGCAGGUUGAAGGUUGGGUAACACUAACUGGAGGACCGAACCGACUAAUGUUGAAAAAUUAGCGGAUGACCUGUGGCUGGGGGUGAAAGGCCAAUCAAACCGGGAGAUAGCUGGUUCUCCCCGAAAGCUAUUUAGGUAGCGCCUCGUGAAUUCAUCUCCGGGGGUAGAGCACUGUUUCGGCUAGGGGGCCAUCCCGGCUUACCAACCCGAUGCAAACUGCGAAUACCGGAGAAUGUUAUCACGGGAGACACACGGCGGGUGCUAACGUCCGUCGUGAAGAGGGAAACAACCCAGACCGCCAGCUAAGGUCCCAAAGUCAUGGUUAAGUGGGAAACGAUGUGGGAAGGCCCAGACAGCCAGGAUGUUGGCUUAGAAGCAGCCAUCAUUUAAAGAAAGCGUAAUAGCUCACUGGUCGAGUCGGCCUGCGCGGAAGAUGUAACGGGGCUAAACCAUGCACCGAAGCUGCGGCAGCGACGCUGAUGCGUUGUUGGGUAGGGGAGCGUUCUGUAAGCCUGUGAAGGUGUGUCGUGAGGCAUGCUGGAGGUAUCAGAAGUGCGAAUGCUGACAUAAGUAACGAUAAAGCGGGUGAAAAGCCCGCUCGCCGGAAGACCAAGGGUUCCUGUCCAACGUUAAUCGGGGCAGGGUGAGUCGACCCCUAAGGCGAGGCCGAAAGGCGUAGUCGAUGGGAAACGGGUUAAUAUUCCCGUACUUGGUGUUACUGCGAAGGGGGGACGGAGAAGGCUAUGUUGGCCGGGCGACGGUUGUCCCGGUUUAAGCGUGUAGGUGUGUGUUCCAGGUAAAUCCGGUUCACUUUAACACUGAGGCGUGACGACGAGGCACUACGGUGCUGAAGCAACAAAUGCCCUGCUUCCAGGAAAAGCCUCUAAGCAUCAGGUAACAUCAAAUCGUACCCCAAACCGACACAGGUGGUCAGGUAGAGAAUACCAAGGCGCUUGAGAGAACUCGGGUGAAGGAACUAGGCAAAAUGGUGCCGUAACUUCGGGAGAAGGCACGCUGACACGUAGGUGAAGUGAUUUACUCAUGGAGCUGAAGUCAGUCGAAGAUACCAGCUGGCUGCAACUGUUUAUUAAAAACACAGCACUGUGCAAACACGAAAGUGGACGUAUACGGUGUGACGCCUGCCCGGUGCCGGAAGGUUAAUUGAUGGGGUCAGCGCAAGCGAAGCUCCUGAUCGAAGCCCCGGUAAACGGCGGCCGUAACUAUAACGGUCCUAAGGUAGCGAAAUUCCUUGUCGGGUAAGUUCCGACCUGCACGAAUGGCGUAAUGAUGGCCAGGCUGUCUCCACCCGAGACUCAGUGAAAUUGAACUCGCUGUGAAGAUGCAGUGUACCCGCGGCAAGACGGAAAGACCCCGUGAACCUUUACUAUAGCUUGACACUGAACAUUGAGCCUUGAUGUGUAGGAUAGGUGGGAGGCUUUGAAGUGUGGACGCCAGUCUGCAUGGAGCCGACCUUGAAAUACCACCCUUUAAUGUUUGAUGUUCUAACGUGGACCCGUGAUCCGGGUUGCGGACAGUGUCUGGUGGGUAGUUUGACUGGGGCGGUCUCCUCCUAAAGAGUAACGGAGGAGCACGAAGGUUGGCUAAUCCUGGUCGGACAUCAGGAGGUUAGUGCAAUGGCAUAAGCCAGCUUGACUGCGAGCGUGACGGCGCGAGCAGGUGCGAAAGCAGGUCAUAGUGAUCCGGUGGUUCUGAAUGGAAGGGCCAUCGCUCAACGGAUAAAAGGUACUCCGGGGAUAACAGGCUGAUACCGCCCAAGAGUUCAUAUCGACGGCGGUGUUUGGCACCUCGAUGUCGGCUCAUCACAUCCUGGGGCUGAAGUAGGUCCCAAGGGUAUGGCUGUUCGCCAUUUAAAGUGGUACGCGAGCUGGGUUUAGAACGUCGUGAGACAGUUCGGUCCCUAUCUGCCGUGGGCGCUGGAGAACUGAGGGGGGCUGCUCCUAGUACGAGAGGACCGGAGUGGACGCAUCACUGGUGUUCGGGUUGUCAUGCCAAUGGCACUGCCCGGUAGCUAAAUGCGGAAGAGAUAAGUGCUGAAAGCAUCUAAGCACGAAACUUGCCCCGAGAUGAGUUCUCCCUGAGACUUAAAGUCUCCUGAAGGAACGUUGAAGACGACGACGUUGAUAGGCCGGGUGUGUAAGCGCAGCGAUGCGUUGAGCUAACCGGUACUAAUGAACCGUGAGGCUUAACCUU